GAAGAGAUAAAGGCUGGUCCCCAGCAACAUCUCUGUGGUCCCUACAGACACAGCAGCCCCUGUUCCUCGCCUGACUACCGCGAUGCACCUCAGAUGCAUGCCUGCCACGGGUCUGGACAAGUUCAGCCAAGACCAUCUCCUGCUAGACUGUGCUUUCUGCAGAGACAUCAAGCAUGCCAUCAAACUCAUCUGCGACUUCCUGGGGGAGAGGUGCUUUUUUCCAGGUCUCCCUCUCCCUGUGCGGGUGUCCACGGCGGUGGCAGUGAGCUCACACCAGGCCCCAGCUCUCAAAGCUUCCACCAGCUCUCAGCAGGGCCACCCUGGGGACCAAGCCUUUACACAUGGCCCUCGGGCAACAUUCAGGAGCCAAACUGUAGUCCCCAGGGUUCAGACAGCUCUGCCCUACCAGUAUUGGGGCUGCUGGUUCAAGGACAAAAUCGUGAGAUUUGGAGAGAGAGGAGCAGUGCCCAAGGAUGAUGGAAAUGACUGUGCGAAAUUCAGAGCCCCUGCGCAGGGACAUCUCUGAGUCCCUAGGAAGGAAUCUGCUGGGAGCGAUGCGCUGUAGAUCACUAUGGCCAGGCCUAAUUCACCUCCUCCCUCGGACGAGGCAGGGCCCGGUGGAGAACGGACAACAAGAGGGGCAUAGUGGAGUGGCUGGGCGUGGUGGAGCAAGGCCUGGCCAGAAGAGGACUGUCUUCCUUCCCAGACAUUCACCAGAGAAACAUCAAGCAUUAGCUCCUGCAGACCUAGCCAUUCUCCCUGUUCCAAUCCGGCAUCCCCUUUCAGUUUCCAUAUCUACACUAUAAAGAAAGGCGCUGAGGAUGCAAGCCAAUGUUUGUCUCAUCAGGAUAAAGAGUUUCCACCUGGCCUCAGCUUUGUAAACCUUACUGUUCUUUGUUGUAUUCUUUGUCUUGUUCUUUAAGUUUCUUAAUCUCUCACCUUCAUCGUUUCUUACUCAUGAACCCUUCAGACAAGCAGGCCGAGGCAGAAAUCCAUUCUGGGCUCCUCCCGACUAAGGAAACAAAACCAGCUGUGGAGGGUAAGUGUUUACCCAGCAGAGAGGGC
rnacentral:lncRNA from 1 species